GGGGAAGCCGGUGCAAAUCCGGCGCUGACCCGCAACCGUGAACCACCGCCGUGGCAAGAGCACAGCCGUGGUGAGCCGGACUGCCC
rnacentral:ncRNA from 2 species